AUUGAACGCUGGCGGCAGGCCUAACACAUGCAAGUCGAGCGGAUGAGAGGAGCUUGCUCCUCGAUUCAGCGGCGGACGGGUGAGUAAUGCCUAGGAAUCUGCCCAGUAGUGGGGGACAACGUUUCGAAAGGAACGCUAAUACCGCAUACGUCCUACGGGAGAAAGUGGGGGAUCUUCGGACCUCACGCUAUUGGAUGAGCCUAGGUCGGAUUAGCUAGUUGGUAGGGUAAAGGCCUACCAAGGCGACGAUCCGUAACUGGUCUGAGAGGAUGAUCAGUCACACGGGAACUGAGACACGGCCCAGACCCCUACGGGAGGCAGCAGUGGGGAAUAUUGGACAAGGGGCGCAAGCCUGAUCCAGCCAUGCCGCGUGUGUGAAGAAGGCCCUCGGGUCGUAAAGCACUUUAAGUUGGGAGGAAGGGCUUACAGCGAAUACCUGUGAGUUUUGACGUUACCGACAGAAUAAGCACCGGCUAACUUCGUGCCAGCCGCCGCAGUAA
rnacentral:rRNA from 1 species